rnacentral:rRNA from 1 species
GAGUUUGAUCAUGGUUCAGGACUAACGCUGGCGGCGUGCCUAACACAUGCAAGUCGAACGAGGUAGCAAUACCUAGUGGCAGACGGGUGAGUAACACGUAGUCAACCUACCCUUGCGUGGGGGAUAACUAACCGAAAGGUCAGCUAAUACCGCAUACGAUCGUCGAGGGGCAUCCUUUGACGAUGAAAGGAGCAAUUCGCGCGAGGACGGGACUGCGUCCCAUUAGCUCGUUGGUGGAGUAACGGCCUACCAAGGCUUCGAUGGGUAGCUGGCUUGAGAGAGUGACCAGCCACACUGGAACUGAGACACGGUCCAGACUCCUACGGGAGGCAGCAGUGAGGAAUUUUCCGCAAUGGGCGAAAGCCUGACGGAGCGACGCCGCGUGUGGGAUGAAGGCCUUAGGGUCGUAAACCACUGUCGAAGGGGACGAUAUUGACGGUACCCUUGGAGGAAGCCCCGGCUAACUACGUGCCAGCAGCCGCGGUAAGACGUAGGGGGCAAGCGUUGUCCGGAAUUAUUGGGCGUAGAGCGCUCGUAGGCGGAUCGAAAAGUCUGUGAAAAAAGACCCGGGCUCAACUCGGGGAACGGCAUGGAUACUUUCGAUCUUGAGGUUGUUAGAGG